GACGAACGCUGGCGGCGUGCUUAACACAUGCAAGUCGAACGGAAAGGCCCUGCUUUUGUGGGGUGCUCGAGUGGCGAACGGGUGAGUAACACGUGAGUAACCUGCCCUUGACUUUGGGAUAACUUCAGGAAACUGGGGCUAAUACCGGAUAGGAGCUCCUGCUGCAUGGUGGGGGUUGGAAAGUUUCGGCGGUUGGGGAUAGACUCGCGGCUUAUCAGCUUGUUGGUGGGGUAGUGGCUUACCAAGGCUUUGACGGGUAGCCGGCCUGAGAGGGUGACCGGCCACAUUGGGAUUGAGAUACGGCCCAGACUCCUACGGGAGGCAGCAGUGGGGAAUAUUGCACAAUGGGCGGAAGCCUGAUGCAGCAACGCCGCGUGCGGGAUGACGGCCUUCGGGUUGUAAACCGCUUUCGCCUGUGACGAAGCGUGAGUGACGGUAAUGGGUAAAGAAGCACCGGCUAACUACGUG
rnacentral:rRNA from 1 species